rnacentral:rRNA from 1 species
UACAGAGGGUGCGAACGUUGCUCGGAAUGAUUGGGCGUAAAGCGCGUGCAGGCGGUUGAUUAUGCCGGCUGUGAAAGCCCGUGGCUCAACCACGGAAGUGCAGUCGGAACUGAUCUGACUAGAGUGCCGAAGAGGGUGGCGGAAUGCCCAGUGUAGAGGUGAAAUUCGUAGAUAUUGGGUAGAACACCGGUGGCGAAGGCGGCCACCUGGGAGGUGACUGACGCUGAGACGCGAAAGCGUGGGUAGCAAACAGG